UACGUAGGGUGCAAGCGUUGUCCGGAAUUAUUGGGCGUAAAGAGCUCGUAGGCGGUUUGUCGCGUCGGAUGUGAAAAUCCAGGGCUCAACCCUGGACCUGCAUUCGAUACGGGCAGACUAGAGUUCGGUAGGGGAGACUGGAAUUCCUGGUGUAGCGGUGGAAUGCGCAGAUAUCAGGAGGAACACCGAUGGCGAAGGCAGGUCUCUGGGCAGUAACUGACGCUGAUGCGCGAAAGCCAGGGGAGCGAACGGG
rnacentral:rRNA from 1 species